rnacentral:lncRNA from 1 species
UGAGACAAUGAACAAAUCCAAGGAACUCUUUAAGAGCCCUAAAUAUUACAAAACAGGUAUCAAUGAGGACUGCCACACAUUACACAAUUUCAAAAAAAAAACCAAAAAAACAUCUGCAUCCAUAAAGCAUCAUCAGACAGAACAGCUUCACAGUCUUCACAGCACACCUCAUACAGUCUUCAGUCUUUAACAAACAAGAGGGGGAACCAUCUAUCAGAGGAAGAAGUAUCA